CCUGCCCCUAGUGGAGAGGCAUUGCAGGUAUGUCUGUUACGUGUAUUCAGUAGGUGGCAAAAAAGAAUGAGGCUAUGUCUGUGCUCAGUGUUCUAACCUAUGAAUAUCUGAAUCAUUAGUAGCCUAACAUU